GAUGAACGCUCGCGAUAGGCUUAACACAUGCAAGUCGAGGGGCAGCAUGGUCUUAGCUUGCUAAGACUGAUGGCGACCGGCGCACGGGUGCGUAACGCGUAUGCAACUUGCCUCACAGAGGGGGAUAACCCGUCGAAAGACGGACUAAUACCGCGUACACUCUAUUUUGGGCAUCCAAGGUAGAGGAAAUGAAAUUCGCUGUGAGAUAGGCAUGCGUCCCAUUAGCUAGUUGGUGAGGUAACGGCUCACCAAGGCGACGAUGGGUAGGGGAACUGAGAGGUUGAACCCCCACACUGGUACUGAGACACGGACCAGACUCCUACGGGAGGCAGCAGUGAGGAAUAUUGGUCAAUGGGCGAGAGCCUGAACCAGCCAAGUCGCGUGAAGGAGGACUGUCUUAUGGAUUGUAAACUUCUUUUGUAGGGGAAUAAAGAGGGGCACGUGUGCCCCAGUGAAUGUACCCUACGAAUAAGCAUCGGCUAACUCCGUG
rnacentral:rRNA from 1 species